rnacentral:rRNA from 1 species
UGGCGGCGUGCUUAACACAUGCAAGUCGAACGGAAAGGCCCUGCUUUUGGGGGGUGCUCGAGUGGCGAACGGGUGAGUAACACGUGAGUAACCUGCCCUUGACUUUGGGAUAACUUCAGGAAACUGGGGCUAAUACCGGAUAGGAGCUCCUGCUGCAUGGUGGGGGUUGGAAAGUUUCGGCGGUUGGGGAUGGACUCGCGGCUUAUCAGCUUGUUGGUGGGGUAGUGGCUUACCAAGGCUUUGACGGGUAGCCGGCCUGAGAGGGUGACCGGCCACAUUGGGACUGAGAUACGGCCCAGACUCCUACGGGAGGCAGCAGUGGGGAAUAUUGCACAAUGGGCGGAAGCCUGAUGCAGCAACGCCGCGUGCGGGAUGACGGCCUUCGGGUUGUAAACCGCUUUCGCCUGUGACGAAGCGUGAGUGACGGUAAUGGGUAAAGAAGCACCGGCUAACUACGUGCCAGCAGCCGCGGUGAUACGUAGGGUGCGAGCGUUGUCCGGAUUUAUUGGGCGUAAAGGGCUCGUAGGUGGUUGAUCGCGUCGGAAGUGUAAUCUUGGGGCUUAACCCUGAGCGUGCUUUCGAUACGGGUUGACUUGAGGAAGGUAGGGGAGAAUGGAAUUCCUGGUGGAGCGGUGGAAUGCGCAGAUAUCAGGAGGAACACCAGUGGCGAAGGCGGUUCUCUGGGCCUUUCCUGACGCUGAGGAGCGAAAGCGUGGGGAGCGAACAGGCUUAGAUACCCUGGUAGUCCACGCUGUAAACGGUGGGUACUAGGUGUGGGGUCCAUUCCACGGGUUCCGUGCCGUAGCUAACGCUUUAAGUACCCCGCCUGGGGAGUACGGCCGCAAGGCUAAAACUCAAAGGAAUUGACGGGGCCCCGCACAAGCGGCGGAGCAUGCGGAUUAAUUCGAUGCAACGCGUAGAACCUUACCUGGGUUUGACAUGGAUCGGGAGUGCUCAGAGAUGGGUGUGCCUCUUUUGGGGUCGGUUCACAGGUGGUGCAUGGCUGUCGUCAGCUCGUGUCGUGAGAUGUUGGGCUAAGUCCCGCAACGAGCGCAACCCUCGUUCACUGUUGCCAGCACGUUAUGGUGGGGACUCAGUGGAGACCGCCGGGGUCAACUCGGAGGAAGGUGGGGAUGACGUCAAGUCAUCAUGCCCCUUAUGUCCAGGGCUUCACGCAUGCUACAAUGGCUGGUACAGAGAGUGGCGAGCCUGUGAGGGUGAGCGAAUCUCGGAAAGCCGGUCUCAGUUCGGAUUGGGGUCUGCAACUCGACCUCAUGAAGUCGGAGUCGCUAGUAAUCGCAGAUCAGCAACGCUGCGGUGAAUACGUUCCCGGGGCUUGUACACACCGCCCGUCAAGUCAUGAAAGUUGGUAACACCCGAAGCCGGUGGCCUAACCGUUGUGGGGGAGCCGUCGAAGGUGGGACUGGUGAUUAGGACUAAGUC